GGAACCUGCUGGACAUGGACACCUUCUCCAAGUCUGACCCAGUGGUGGUCCUCUUCGUGCAGGGCUCGGGGAGCAGCGAGUGGAAGGAGUUUGGGCGCACGGAGGUGAUCGACAACACCCUGAACCCUGACUUCGUCCGCAAGUUCGUCCUCGACUACUACUUUGAGGAGAAGCAAAACCUCCGCUUCGACGUGUGAGUGGGGCGGCCGGGGAAGGGCUCAGCCCCGGCUCAGGGCGGAACAAAGCACCGAGUCAGUAAUA